rnacentral:lncRNA from 1 species
GAGUUACCUGCAGUUUGCUGCUCGCGCCGCCUGCACGUGUUUGGUGUGCUCCGGCUCAGGCCCUGUCUCUCUAUCCAGGCACCAGCCUGCCCUGAGGAUGGAGUGCUCUGAAGAGGCUUGCAGAGGAGAGAGAACUUCAAUUUUCGAGUCGCUACGAGCAAUUUGUGAGUAAGCCCUUGACAGCUUACUAAUUCAGCUCUUAAACUUCAGGAACAGCUGAGAUCAAAACGGUGCAUUGUACAAGCAAUCUGGGUAAAAAAAAAGAGAGAGAGAAAGGAUCUUGCAUUAGACGUGAAAUGUUCUCCGAACCCUUUUAUAAUGAUUUUAUUUUAGCACUUCAUGAGAGCAGCUUAUGAGCUAUGAAAUGCCUUUUGAACCCUGACAUUAAAAGGCGUCUCACGGAUACAUGAAUCCAUGAGUGUGCUGUUUAAAAUAAUGGCUGCUAAAUGGUUAUUGGCUUAGACCAAAAACCUUUAAUUGGUAUAAAACCACUGGUGCAAAAUUAGUGUGGGGGAAAGAAAUACACCCCGCAUAUCCCCACACUUUUUAAAAUUACACAAGAUAAACCUGCGGUCAGG